GAAGCAGCAGACGAUGGCUCAAGAACUUGAGUUCCUGCCACCCACCUGGGAGACCCGGAGAGUUCUUGGCUCCUGGCUUCACUGACCCAGCCCUGGCUGUUGUAGCCAUUUGGGAAGUGAACAAGCAGAGGAAACACCACCACCAGCACCUUGGCUCCCCCAUCCAGCGAGGACAUUUCAUCAGUGUGGAUAAAGAACGUGCUGACUUCUUCUUGGAAAACAGAAGCAGAGGUGGGAAAGUUCUCAACUACCUGCUACAAUUUGAGCCACCUGCCUUGUCUUUCCAAUGGACACUUCAGUUACAGAAGACGGCCAUAAGAUGAAGAAGGAAGGUGGAAAGGAAGGAAAACAAGACACAGCAACCAAAUCACGACUAAGGAUUCCCCAAAGGAAUAUAUAAUCCUACAGAGAAUUAUUGCAUUUUCUUCAGUCUUCUGAGAAACAAAAAAGAUAAAACCAAACCAAACCAAACAAAAACCACUUUCAUUUUCCAACCUUCUUGGGAACUUUAAGAAAAAGUCAAUGAGAAUCUGUAGGAAUUUCAUGUAGAGUCUAUAAUAGGCAUGCCAGGAGUGAUGCUUGCAGAACAAUAGCUAAAGAGGGUAAAUAUUUUGCUAUCCCUAGUUUCCAGCAGUCACAGAACUUCAAAUCUCCGCCCAAUCACUAGAGUGCCAAUGAGUAUUACACAUUCAUGUUGACACAACUUUUCCUUAGCACACUUUAUCCAUACUCAUUGGUGACUCAGCACAAGUCCAUUAUCUGCUAAACCUUAAACAAUGCUGGCUACAGGGGGCAAUAAAACUCUGAGAACUUCAACUUCAGGCUUCCCUGAAUUUUUAAACAUUGUAUACUUUUAAGAAGUCUCUUCCCAAAUGGCAAUUCAUUUAGUUUACAUGUUACCACUUCUUUUUAAAUGCAUCUCCAGAUACCAAUUAUACUUAGGAAAUGAUAUUCACCUAAAAAUUUAAAAAUUCAAAUUCACUGAGAAGAAAUAAUAAAUUGAAAAGCUCUUUUUUGCCUGUUUAGUCAACAAACUGCUUCAGAAAAUACCAUCUCGGCAUUACAAUCAAUAAACACAGAAACCAUGACAUAACUUUUAAUCUUUAACUCCAAGGAUUGCUGAGCUUAUCACAGAUGUAUUAUGAAACAUGGCAAGAAGCAGUGCAACAAGAACAGGGUGAAAAAAAUUUAGUAUUUGAUCAUUUGACAUCCUCAGCCCAAAGCUACCAAACAGGGCUCCACCACCAGGUUCAGCCCCACCCAAUCCCCACACUCAAAGAUUUCAAAGACAAAUGGUUAAAACAUUCAAUACACACUCUUGAUCAACAGGCACUUGAACAAGGAAAGAAGAAACAAUCUUUACAAUCAUAACUUAUUGGUUACAAAAAUAAUAGAUUGAUUUUCUGGUAUGGAAGCAAAUUACAAAAUCAAAAUAUUUGUCUGUUCCUUACCUUGACAAUAUUCAAAGUUUCCCUUUUUCCGGCAGUCACCUAUUACUAAACUCAGUGCUCUCCAAGUGUUUCUUUUGACAGAUAUCAUUCUCCACCAAUCGCUCUGCUAAUUUCCUCUCCUUUUCUGACUGGGACAGAGAUUAUGUUCACCAGCCCAGAGAUCAAUCUUUUCUAUUGACAACAACAAAGGGAAAAAAAAUGCAUAUAUCACAACCAGUCUGAGGUAUCACACCCAUCUAUUUACAUGACAAUACUAGGCCAGCUUUGUUUCCUUUAAGAAACAGAUACAAGCUCUUCUAAAUUUUAGAAGCAUCCAAAACAAUCCCCAUUUUCUCAGUUCCUAUAAUGAAGUACUUUAAAGGACUCUUAAUUUUCCAUUCAUCUGACUCAGAGCUGGAUACCUUCUGAACCUGAGAAGUGUGUAUGUGUGUAUACACACACACACACACACACACAUACAUAUAUAUCAAUACUUUGAAAGAAUGUGCUAGAUUUUACCUGUUAUAAUAAAAAAAUUGAGUAAUCUGUUGGAUAUUAUAGGUACUUUAGAACAAACUUUA